CGACCGGCGCACGGGUGAGUAACGCGUAUGCAACCUACCUUUUACUUAGGGAUAACCCGGAGAAAUUCGGACUAAUACCUAAUGGUAUGUAGUAUCUGCAUGGAUGCUGCUUUAAAGAUUUAUUGGUAUUAGAUGGGCAUGCGUGCCAUUAGCUAGUUGGUAAGGUAAUUGCUUACCAAGGCAACGAUGGCUAGGGGAACUGAGAGGUUUGUCCCCCACACUGGAACUGAGACACGGACCAG
rnacentral:rRNA from 1 species